rnacentral:rRNA from 1 species
GGGGGGAAGGGUCAGUACAUGGGCUUUGUCUUGUAAUUGGAAUGAUGGUGACGUAAAAUCUCACCAGAGUAACAAUUGGAGGGCAAGUCUGGUGCCAGCAGCCGCGGUAAUUCCAGCUCCAAUAGCGUAUAUUAAACUUGUUGCAGUUAAAAAGCUCGUAGUUGAAUUUCUGCGUUGCCCGACUCGGCUACUUGCCUUGUCUGGUUUCGCUUUUGGGGUUUUCCCCUUUUUACUUUGAGAAAAUUAGAGUGUUUCAAGCAGACUUGUGUCUUGAAUACUUCAGCAUGGAAUAAUAAAGUAGGACUUUGGUUCUAUUUUGUUGGUUUGUGAACCUUAGUAAUGGUUAAUAGGAACGGUUGGGGGCUUCGUAUUUAAA